CCCUUAGACGUUCUGGGCCGCACGCGCGCUACACUGGCGAAGGCAACGAGCUUUCCUUUACCGAAAGGUACGGGUAAUCUUUUGAAACUUCGUCGUGCUGGGGAUAGAUCCUUGCAAUUUUUGAUCUUAAACGAGGAAUGCCUAGUAAGCGCAAGUCAUCAACUUGCGUUGAUUACGUCCCUGCCCUUUGUACACACCGCCCGUCGCUACUACCGAUUGAAUGGUUUAGUGAGGCCUUCGGAUCCGCGACUCGUUUUGUGGAGAAGUUGGACAAACUCAGUCAUUUAGAGGAAGUAAAAGUCGUAACA
rnacentral:rRNA from 1 species